rnacentral:rRNA from 1 species
UACGUAGGUGGCGAGCGUUGUUCGGAAUUACUGGGCGUAAAGCGCGUGUAGGCGGCGUGACAAGUCGGGUGUGAAAGCCCUCAGCUCAACUGAGGAAGUGCGCCCGAAACUGUCGUGCUUGAGUGCCGGAGAGGGUGGCGGAAUUCCCCAAGUAGAGGUGAAAUUCGUAGAUAUGGGGAGGAACACCGGUGGCGAAGGCGGCCACCUGGACGGUAACUGACGCUGAGACGCGAAAGCGUGGGGAGCAAACAGG